rnacentral:rRNA from 1 species
AACCUCCGCAAUGUGAGAAAUCGCGACGGGGGGAUCCCAAGUGCCAUUCUUAACGGGAUGGCUUUCAUUAGUGUAAAGAGCUUUUGGAAUAAGAGCUGGGCAAGACCGGUGCCAGCCGCCGCGGUAACACCGGCAGCUCUAGUGGUAACAAUUUUUAUUGGGCCUAAAGCGUCCGUAGCCGGUUUAAUAAGUCUCUGGUGAAAUCCUGUAGCUUAACUGUGGGAAUUGCUGGAGAUACUAUUAGACUUGAGACCGGGAGAGGUUAGAGGUACUCCCAGGGUAGAGGUGAAAUUCUGUAAUCCUGGGAGGACCGCCUGUUGCGAAGGCGUCUAACUGGAACGGUUCUGACGGUGAGGGACGAAAGUUAGGGGCGCGAACCGGAUUAGAUACCCGGGUAGUCCUAACUGUAAACGAUGCGGACUUGGUGUUGGGGUGGCUUUGAGCUGCUCCAGUGCCGAAGGGAAGCUGUUAAGUCCGCCGCCUGGGAAGUACGGUCGCAAGACUGAAACUUAAAGGAAUU